UGGGAGGUAAAUUUCUCCUAAGGCUAAAUAACGGCGAGAGACCGAUAGCGAACAAGUACCGUGAGGGAAAGAUGAAAAGUACUUUGAAAAGAGAGUUAAACAGUACGUGAAAUUGUUGAAAGGGAAACGAUUGAAGCCAGUCGUACCAGCGGAUAAUCAACCUUUAGAUGCGAUUUUAUGGAGUGUGAGGAGCUAAUCGCCUUCAUGCCUGUAUAUUCGUAUACUUGGGGUGUACUUAUUCGUGUGGUAAGUUAACAUCAAUUUUGGUUGUCAUAAAAUGAUUGGAGGAAUGUAGCUUCGAUCUUGUAUUGAAGUGUUAUAGCCUUCGGUAGACGUGACGAUCGGGAUUGAGGAUUGCAACGGAUACCCUUCGGGGCUACCUGUCUGAUCUCUGAUUGUUGCUCUGGUGCUGAAAGCUUGCUUAUAGUAUCAAAGUCGAUGGUUAAUAGGUUAGAAUGGGUUAAAUUCGUUAAGGAUGUUGACGUAAUGGCUUUAAACGACCCGUCUUGAAACACGGACCAAGGAGUCUAACAUAUAUGCGAGUGUUAGGGUAAUUAAACCCUUACGCGUAAUGAAAGUAAUUUUGGUGGGAUCACUUUUGUGCACCAUCGACC
rnacentral:rRNA from 1 species